GACGAACGCUGGCGGCGUGCUUAACACAUGCAAGUCGAGCGGUAAGGCCCUUUCGGGGGUACACGAGCGGCGAACGGGUGAGUAACACGUGGGUGACCUGCCCUCAGCUCUGGGAUAAGCCUGGGAAACCGGGUCUAAUACUGGAUAUGACUCCAUGACGCAUGUUGUGGGGUGGAAAGCCUUGUGCGGCUGAGGAUGGGCCCGCGGCCUAUCAGCUUGUUGGUGGGGUGANGGCCUACCAAGGCGACGACGGGUAGCCGGCCUGAGAGGGCGACCGGCCACACUGGGACUGAGACACGGCCCAGACUCCUACGGGAGGCAGCAGUGGGGAACCUUGCGCAAUGGGCGAAAG
rnacentral:rRNA from 1 species